UGCAUCCGUGAGGGCGCCAGAGCCACUCCCCGCCCCAGGCGAGGAGAUUUCCCCUCUUUGCGAUGAAUCACCGUCCGGCUGGGAGGGAUUUUUCUCCCUGGACGCUUCACAGAGCAGUUAGUUGCAAGGGCUGGCACCGAUUCUUCGCAUCAUGUCUGGGAUCGCAGCGAAAGUGGCCAAAGAGCGGGAGGUGGCCCAAGGGCUGGGCUCCAACCAGAAGGCCGUGAAGUACCUCCAGCAGGACUUCGGGGCGCUGCGGGCGGAGUGCCUGGAGGCCGGGGGGCUCUUCCAGGACCCCUGCUUCCCCGCCGCCGCCCCCGCGCUGGGCUUCAAGGAGCUGGGACCCCACGCCGCCAAGACCAAGGGCAUCGUCUGGAAGAGGCCCACGGAGUUAUGUUCCAAUCCUCAGUUUAUUGUUGGAGGGGCCACCCGGACUGAUAUCUGCCAGGGAGCUUUAGGAGACUGUUGGCUUCUGGCUGCCAUUGCUUCUCUCACGCUAAAUGAAGAAAUUCUGGCUAGAGUUGUUCCCAGUGAUCAAAGCUUUCAAGACAGAUAUGCAGGGAUUUUCCAUUUCCAGUUCUGGCAGUAUGGAGAAUGGACAGAUGUGGUGGUUGAUGAUCGGCUGCCAACCAAAAAUGGGGAGCUCCUUUUUGUUCACUCAGCAGAAGGGACUGAGUUCUGGAGUGCUCUGUUGGAGAAGGCCUAUGCCAAGGUGAAUGGGUCGUAUGAGGCUCUCUCUGGAGGAAGCACUACUGAGGGCUUUGAGGACUUCACUGGUGGAAUUGCAGAGUGGUAUGAACUGAGAAAAGCUCCACCAAAUCUGUUCAGAAUCAUCCAGAAAGCCCUUCAAAAAGGUUCUCUCCUUGGAUGUUCUAUCGAUAUCACAAGUGCUGCUGAGACGGAGGCAGUCACAACACAGAAGCUGGUUAAAGGGCAUGCAUACUCUGUAACGGGUGCAGAAGAGGUCAGUUUCCGAGGCAGUCUGCAAAAAUUGAUCAGAAUCCGAAAUCCCUGGGGAGAAGUAGAAUGGACUGGGAAAUGGAACGAUAAUUGCCCAAGCUGGAGUAAUGUUGAUCCUGAAGUGAGAGACAGACUAACCAAGAAACAUGAAGAUGGAGAAUUUUGGAUGUCAUUUGACGAUUUUCUGAGACAUUACUCACGCCUUGAGAUCUGUAACUUGACACCAGACACCCUGACCAAUGACAACUACAAGAAAUGGAGUCUCAGUUUGAUGGAUGGGAACUGGAGAAAAGGAUCCACUGCUGGUGGAUGCAGAAAUUAUCCUGAUUCAUUUUGGAUGAACCCACAAUAUUUGAUUAAACUUGAGGAAGAAGAUGAAGAUCCGGAUGAUCCUGAGAAGGGCUGCACCUUCUUGAUUGGACUGAUUCAGAAACACCGCCGGAAGCAGCGGAAAAUGGGGGAGGAUAUGCAUACCAUUGGCUUUGCCAUCUAUGAGGUACCUCCACAGUUUUCAGGCCAAACCAACGUCCAUCUGAGCAAAAACUUCUUUCUAACAAAUCGAGCGAAAGAACGAUCAAACACCUUCAUCAACCUCCGAGAAGUGUUAAAUCGCUUCAAGCUUCCCUCAGGGGAGUAUAUUAUUGUGCCAUCAACAUUCGAACCCAACAAGAAUGGGGAUUUCUGCCUCCGAGUCUUCUCCGAAAAGAGUGCGGAUUCACAGAUUGUUGAUGAUGAAAUUGAGGCCAACAUUGAAGAGAAAGAAGUCACUGAAGAUGAAAUUGAACCCAGUUUUAAGAAACUAUUUGGACAAUUAGCUGGAGGGGAUGCUGAGAUCUCAGCCUUUGAACUGUGUGGUAUUCUGAAAAAAGUGAUGGCAAAACGCCAAGACAUUAAAUCAGAUGGCUUCAGCAUUGAAACAUGUAAAAUCAUGGUUGAUCUAUUAGAUACAGAUGGAAGUGGUAAACUGGGGCUGAAGGAGUUUCAUAUACUUUGGACAAAGAUUCAGAAAUACCAGAAAAUUUAUCGGGAAAUGGAUGUUGAUAGUUCUGGAACCAUGAAUGCCUAUGAGAUGAGGAAAGCUUUAGAACAAGCAGGCUUUAAGCUGGAUUGUCAGUUGCACCAAGUCAUUGUGGCUCGUUUUGCUGAUGAGCAGCUGAUCAUUGAUUUUGACAAUUUUGUUCGAUGCUUGAUUCGGCUGGAAACCUUGUUCAGUAAGUAAAUUAUCAAUAGAUAUUUAAGAAAUUGGACACUGAGAAAACGGGAACAGUACAGAUGAAUCUUGUCACUUGGGUGUGCUUUACUAUCAUCUAAAGAAGGAAUGGAUCUCAUUUGAAAACUUCUGUCAGGACCAGAACAUCAUUUUAAGAUCAAUACCAAGCAAUCAAAGAAACUACUUAUAUUUUAAUGCUGCUGCAUAUCUUCUAUUUAUGAAAGUGGUUGCCUAAGAGAAAGGAGAAAUGCUGGAAAAAUAAAAUGAAUUGACAAUGGGAGAUGGUUAACUUGGCAAAUCCAUUAUACAAGCAUUAACUUUUUAUGCAAAAAUUUGCUUUAGCUGCUUCAAAAUGUGCCAUAUAAAAGAAAGUAGACAAAACACAACUCAACCCAGAUCUUUAAGAAACUGGCAUGUGAAUGCCACCUCUCUGAAAGAAAAAUAAUAUAUUUCAUUCUACUUUUAUUAAGCAUUAUAAACACCAAACAAGCAUCUUAAUGCUAGGCAAUAAAGCAUUUGCAUAGUGAGCUUCUUACUGUGAUUUUAUCAAGCACUGAUUUUCAAACAACUGAAAUUCAACUCAUCAUAUUUAAUGAAUGCAUUUGUCACUGAAAUAUUGGAUGAUAAUUGUGUCAUGUAUCUACAUGACUUCCUAUAAUUUUUAUUUCUUCCUAUGAUUUUAAACUUUAUGUUCUUUUAAAAUAUGGACUAUCUGUUGAUAAAUCAAAUUAGAAUUACCUCAGUUGGAUCAGCACUUGUGCAGAAUGCAACAAACAUGCAGAUUGAUUUCAGAUACAUGUGCAGGUACAAUGGUAGCAAGGGAUCAUAUUUUUAAAAAGUAUGUUUUACUUACAACCCAAAGCAAAUAAAUUAUAUAAGUCAUUCUCUUUUCAUCAGGGGUUGAACAAUACUUGUACUUCCUAAUAUAGAAGGGUUUAAAAAUAUAAAGCCAGUUGAGCUAGCAAUGUUUUUUAACUGUUAAGAGUGCAAUAAAUUUCUUGGAAUGCA